UUCUAGAUUCACGCAUAACUUCGCCCCACUUCCCCUAUUUACUUGGAUCCUCUUCUCUCCUCCCGUUCUUCAAGUAUUAUCAAUGGUGCAAUCCUGAGUUCAGUUCAAGGUUCAACUCUCUCAUCUUCUCUACUCCAAAAAAAACCCAAGCUCCAUAUUUGAACAGACAUUUCUCCCUCUGCAUUCCAGGUAUCAGUUUUAUCCCACAUCAAUUUGUGACAGCGCACUUUCAUCAUCUUCUUCGACAUCGUUUAUUCAUCAUCAUCUUCACCGGUUCAUCAAGAACUACCAUUUCUUGCACUCGGAACAUCCUUAAGAUUUAAUUUUCGUAACCGGCAUACGUUUUUUGGAGUUAAUGUGUCAUCGACAGCGUUAGAUCUCGCGUACAUAGAGCUAAUCGUAGCCUCUGGAACUGUUUGUGUUGAAGACGACGAUUGCUGCGUCAUCAUAUCAAGAAGAAUGAACAAGGUAAGGUGGAUUUGGUAAUGUUUUUUUAGGCAAAUAGUAUGCGUUGGUUAAUAUACUUUCACAUGAACAUCUAAGAAAACGAACAACAAAUUUAUGUAAGUGAGUACACUUUGCCUCAUGAUUGACACCAAAAAUUUGCAUCAAGUUGUAAUAGAGGUGUAUACCCUUUUAGUUAGAAUUUAAUAAUUUUUCAUGUAACCCUGUUCUUCAUUUUGCAGCUCAUGCCUUCAAUUCAUUUAAAGAAGGUAUUAUUGAAGAACCAUUUAUGGUUUUAUUAGACAUAAUUUUGUUUUUUUAUUCUUGUGUUUGUUACUUUGGUAUGCAUUUGCCAAUUAAUUUAAUCGUCCUUACACAACAUCUUUUCAUUUUUCUUUUACUAUGAUCUAGAAGUGUUUCCUAUUUGUACUAGAUUCACACUGUCUGCCUACUUAUUUGAGUUUUUAUUUUGGCGUAUGAAUUUCAAUUGUGCUUGUAGGGAACCAAAUCUUAGGACUAAUGCAUCAGUUGAACUUCAAUAUCUUAAGGAUACCAUAUUUUGGAGGGAGACUUUAUCUUUCCCUUUUGAACUUCAAAAUGUUUAGUAAAGUAAAAGUUUGGUUUUUAAUUUUUAUGGUGUUUGUUGCAGUAUCCUUUUGCUAUUGGGAAUAUAAGCAGAUUCAUCCUGUUCUUUCGGACACUACUUAUGAGUUAUAAUCCCAUGAUAGAACCUGAUGAUGGCUGGCACUAUCAAUUUGUUGGAAAUCCAAAAGUAAUUCAUGGAGUUAGAUGAGUUGAGGUACUAAUCCAUCAGGUUUCACCUACCGCGCAUUUUGAACCAUUCACUUCGCCGUCAAAGUGUGUGGGGCAUGGCACUGAGAAGGCCGUCAAAGGUGUAGGUUACUUGGAAGACGUGCAUCCGUUAUGCGUUACACAUGUAUCAGUUCAACCCCUGAGCUGUCGUCUAACUUCAGCAAAAUUGUACUUGCAAUAGAGAAGGCCAUCAAGAAAAUGAAGGGAAGGUUGCACUAAUGGGCUGAUCUUACGGUACUUGCUCCUUGUCUGCAAAUACAAUAGGCAAGGUAAUAUAUAUCACAAUUCCAAUUUCCUACCCAUCUGCCAUCUUUUCUAGAGGUUUCCAAAUGGGUGGGCUGGGUAAUGGAUUGAAAUGGGUUGUUUUAGUAUGGGUCAGGUCGAGCUAGGUUAAAUGGUAAAGACUUUUGUUGUCCUUUCCUUAUAUCUACAUAGAUGUGGCAGUAUGGGUGGAUAAUGUGGGUAGGUUGACUGGUCAAAACAUGUAAUUUUGGUGUGGUUUGGGUUGAGUGGAAACACGUUUUACCCAUCUCAGCAUUUAUGGCAUACAGACCGUGUGUUAAAAGGAGUACCCAUGCAUUCCUUGCCCAUUUCUAUAUUGUAUAGUAUAAAGCAAUUUAGUAACACACACGCUUAAAAAUACACUAUAGAGGACUGUUGACCAGUUGACUCCACAUGGAAAAAUGAUUGAGAUGGAAAUGUCUCAUUAGUAAGAACCUUUAGUUAUUAACUUAUAAUAAGUGAUAGCAAGAUGAGUUGAUUGGGUAGCAGGUCAAAAUGGAUCUUAACAACAAAAUUUUACCAAUUUUUAUAUAAAUGUGUAAGGGGCGCUCCACUCGUGGAGAGUAGUCCCCUCUCCACCUCAGCCAAUCAUACGCGUCCAUGUAAACUCCCCUCUCCACUCCCCGUUUUACACUCACACAUAAGGGGUGCUCCACUCUAAACAAUUUUUUCUUUAAAAAAACCAAAAAAAUAAAUAAAUAUAAGUGUGAUUGAUUGGAAGAGAGUUGGGCCCACCAUUAACCCCCUCAUCUUCCCUUGCACGGUGACUACUCCCCAAUUGUAUCCAUUUGCCGCGUGGUGAAGGAUGUAAGGGGCGUUGUUCUCGCAUGGUGAAUACUCACCGCACACCCCUUCACCGACUACACCCUGCACACCCUAACUUUUUAUGGUAUGUUUUUGCAAUGUUCCUUAUGAAUGAUUCUUCGUCAGGAGGCUGCUUAGCACAACUGAAAUUCUUGGGCUUGCUACUACCCUACAAUGCACUAUCAAUAAAGCUAGAUGUUUUCUUGUAUAGUAUGUUGGAUAAAUGUACUUGACAACUAAACACAGUCUCAUGCAUAUUUCUCAUGGUUUAUUAAUGUGCAUUAUGUGGUUUCCUAUAGAUUGUUGUUCUCUUUAAUGAUCAUGUGUACCGUAUCUAAAGCAUUUGCAAUUCCAUAAUUUUUUAG